CCUGGUGGCUCAGAGGUUAAAGUGUCUGCCUCAAAUGCUGGAGACCCAGGUUUGAUCCCUGGGUCAGGA
rnacentral:tRNA from 1 species